rnacentral:tRNA from 1 species
ACCAAUCCUGUUAACCUAUGGAAAAUGGCUGUUGAAAAGAGGUUUCUUAAACAGCAGGUCAGCGGUUCAAUUCCGCUAGGUGGUUCCA